UUCAAGAUUCUAAGAGCAAACGGUGGAUGCCUUGGCAUCUGGAGCCGAAGAAGGACGUAUAAAUCUGCGAUAAGCCUCGGGGAGCUGAUAAUAGAGCUUUGAUCCGAGGAUCUCCGAAUGGGGAAACCCCGCCAGGCCCUUUGGGUGACCUGGUGACUCCCGCCUGAAUAUAUAGGGCGGGUAGAGGGAACGUGGGGAAGUGAAACAUCUCAGUACCCACAGGAAGAGAAAGCAAAAGCGAUUCCGUUAGUAGUGGCGAGCGAAACCGGAAGAGGCCAAACCGAUCAUGUGUGAUAUCCGGUAGGAGUUGCAUGGUCGGGGUUGCGGGACUUUCCGUACAGUUCUACCGAGCUGUGAGGGCAAUGAGCGCGAUAUAGACGAAUGGUCUUGAAAGGCCAGUCAUAGAGGGUGCGAACCCCGUAGUCGAAAUGUCGUCGCCUGUCCGGAGAGUAUCCCAAGUAGCACGGGGCCCGAGAAAUCCCGUGUGAAUCUGUCAGGACCACCUGAUAAGCCUAAAUACUCCCAGAUGACCGAUAGCGGACAAGUACCGUGAGGGAAAGGUGAAAAGUACCCCGGGAGGGGAGUGAAAUAGUACCUGAAACCGUUUGCUUACAAACCGUUGGAGCACCCUUGUUGGUGUGACAGCGUGCCUUUUGAAGAAUGAGCCUGCGAGUUAGUGAUAUGUGGCGAGGUUAACCCGUGUGGGGCAGCCGUAGCGAAAGCGAGUCUUAAUAGGGCGUAUGAGUCGCAUGUUCUAGACCCGAAGCGAAGUGAUCUAUCCAUGGCCAGGUUGAAGCGACGGUAAGACGUCGUGGAGGACCGAACCCACUUCAGUUGAAAAUGGAGGGGAUGAGCUGUGGAUAGGGGUGAAAGGCCAAUCAAACUUCGUGAUAGCUGGUUCUCUCCGAAAUGCAUUUAGGUGCAGCGUUGCGUGUUUCUUGCCGGAGGUAGAGCUACUGGAUGGACGAUGGGCCCCAAAAGGUUACUGACUUCAGCCAAACUCCGAAUGCCGGUAAGUGAGAGCGCAGCAGUGAGACGGUGGGGGAUAAGCUUCAUCGUCGAGAGGGAAACAACCCAGACCACCAUCUAAGGUCCCUAAGCGCGUGCUAAGUGGGAAAGGAUGUGGAGUUGCAUAGACAACCAGGAGGUUGGCUUAGAAGCAGCCACCCUUGAAAGAGUGCGUAAUAGCUCACUGGUCAAGUGAUUCCGCGCCGACAAUGUAACGGGGCUCAAGCACGCCACCGAAGUUGUGGCAUUUAUAUUAUAGGCAGGCCUUCGUGGUCCAGCCGUAUGGAUGGGUAGGAGAGCGUCGUGUGGCCAGCGAAGCGGCGGUGUGAACCAGCCGUGGAGGCCACACGAGUGAGAAUGCAGGCAUGAGUAGCGAAAGACGGGUGAGAAACCCGUCCUCCGAAAGACCAAGGGUUCCAGGGCCAGGCUAAUCCGCCCUGGGUAAGUCGGGACCUAAGGCGAGGCCGACAGGCGUAGUCGAUGGACAACGGGUUGAUAUUCCCGUACCGAUGAAGAACCGCCCAAGACAAUCCAGUAAUGCUAAGUGUCUGAAUCCUUGAUUCGAUCCCUUCGGGGUGACGGUCUUGGCCUAGCACACGACCCUACGCUGGGGCGUUUAGCGUAUUAACAGGUGUGACGCAGGAAGGUAGCUGAGCCGGGCGAUGGUUGUCCCGGUCUAAGGAUGUAGGGCAGAAGAUAGGCAAAUCCGUCUUCUAUGUAGCCUGAGACCCGAUGGGUAGUCCUCACGGACGAAAUCAGUGAUCCUAUGCUGCCGAGAAAAGCAUCGACGCGAGGUUCCAAUCGCCCGUACCCCAAACCGACUCAGGUGGUCAGGUAGAGAAUACUAAGGAGAUCGAGAGAAUCGUGGUUAAGGAACUCGGCAAAAUGCCCCCGUAACUUCGGGAGAAGGGGGGCCUGAGGCGUGUAGGGAUUUACUCCUGAAGCGUUUGAAGGCCGCAGAGACCAGUGGGAAGCGACUGUUUACUAAAAACACAGGUCCGUGCUAAGUCGCAAGACGAUGUAUACGGACUGACGCCUGCCCGGUGCUGGAAGGUUAAGAGGAACGGUUAGCACGCAAGUGCGAAGCUGAGAAUUUAAGCCCCAGUAAACGGCGGUGGUAACUAUAACCAUCCUAAGGUAGCGAAAUUCCUUGUCGGGUAAGUUCCGACCUGCACGAAUGGCGUAACGACUUCCCAGCUGUCUCAACCGCGAACUCGGCGAAAUUGCACUACGAGUAAAGAUGCUCGUUACGCGCAGCAGGACGGAAAGACCCCGUGACCUUUACUACAGCUUGGUAUUGGUGUUCGGUGUGGCUUGUGUAGGAUAGGUGGGAGACUGUGAAGCUCGGACGCUAGUUCGGGUGGAGUCAUUGUUGAAAUACCACUCUGGUCACUCUGGAUAUCUAACUUCGAACCGUAAUCCGGUUCAGGGACAGUGCCUGGUGGGUAGUUUAACUGGGGCGGUUGCCUCCUAAAGAGUAACGGAGGCGCCCAAAGGUUCCCUCAACCUGGUUGGUAAUCAGGUGUCGAGUGUAAGUGCACAAGGGAGCUUGACUGUGAGACUGACAAGUCGAGCAGGGACGAAAGUCGGGACUAGUGAUCCGGCAGUGGCUUGUGGAAGCGCUGUCGCUCAACGGAUAAAAGGUACCUCGGGGAUAACAGGCUGAUCUUGCCCAAGAGUCCAUAUCGACGGCAUGGUUUGGCACCUCGAUGUCGGCUCGUCGCAUCCUGGGGCUGGAGUAGGUCCCAAGGGUUGGGCUGUUCGCCCAUUAAAGCGGUACGCGAGCUGGGUUUAGAACGUCGUGAGACAGUUCGGUCCCUAUCCGCUGCGCGCGUAGGAAAUUUGAGAAGAUCUAUCCCUAGUACGAGAGGACCGGGAUGGACGAACCUCUGGUGUGUCAGUUGUUCCGCCAGGAGCACCGCUGAUUAGCUACGUUCGGAACGGAUAACCGCUGAAAGCAUCUAAGCGGGAAGCCGGCUUCGAGAUGAGAUUUCCAUCCCUUUUAGGGUGAAGGCUCCCGGCUAGACUACCGGGUUGAUAGGCAGGAUGUGGAAGCGAGGACUAAAGACUCGUGGAGCUGACCUGUACUAAUAAGCCGAUAUCUUGAAAACAC
rnacentral:rRNA from 1 species